rnacentral:rRNA from 1 species
GAUGAACGCUGGCGGCGUGCCUAAUACAUGCAAGUCGAGCGAACAGACGAGGAGCUUGCUCCUCUGACGUUAGCGGCGGACGGGUGAGUAACACGUGGAUAACCUACCUAUAAGACUGGGAUAACUUCGGGAAACCGGAGCUAAUACCGGAUAAUAUAUUGAACCGCAUGGUUCAAUAGUGAAAGACGGUUUUGCUGUCACUUAUAGAUGGAUCCGCGCCGCAUUAGCUAGUUGGUAAGGUAACGGCUUACCAAGGCGACGAUGCGUAGCCGACCUGAGAGGGUGAUCGGCCACACUGGAACUGAGACACGGUCCAGACUCCUACGGGAGGCAGCAGUAGGGAAUCUUCCGCAAUGGGCGAAAGCUUGACGGAGCAACGCCGCGUGAGUGAUGAAGGUCUUCGGAUCGUAAAACUCUGUUAUUAGGGAAGAACAAAUGUGUAAGUAACUAUGCACGUCUUGACGGUACCUAAUCAGAAAGCCACGGCUAACUACAUG